AACGAACGCUGGCGGCAGGCCUAAUACAUGCAAGUCGAGCGCGCCCUUCGGGGUGAGCGGCGGACGGGUGAGUAACGCGUGGGAAUAUGCCCUUCUCUAAGGAAUAGCCUCUGGAAACGGAGAGUAAUACCUUAUACGCCCUUCGGGGGAAAGAUUUAUCGGAGAAGGAUUAGCCCGCGUUAGAUUAGGUAGUUGGUGGGGUAAUGGCCUACCAAGUCUACGAUCUAUAGCUGGUUUUAGAGGAUGAUCAGCAACACUGGGACUGAGACACGGCCCAGACUCCUACGGGAGGCAGCAGUGGGGAAUCUUAGACAAUGGGCGCAAGCCUGAUCUAGCCAUGCCGCGUGAGUGAAGAAGGCCUUAGGGUCGUAAAGCUCUUUCGCCAGGGAUGAUAAUGACAGUACCUGGUAAAGAAACCCCGGCUAACUCCGUGCCAGCAGCCGCGGUAAUACGGAGGGGGUUAGCGUUGUUCGGAAUUACUGGGCGUAAAGCGCACGUAGGCGGAUUAGAAAGUAUGGGGUGAAAUCCCAGGGCUCAACCCUGGAACUGCCUCAUAAACUCCUAAUCUAGAGUUCGAGAGAGGUGAGUGGAAUUCCGAGUGUAGAGGUGAAAUUCAUA
rnacentral:rRNA from 1 species